CUCUCUGUUCUCCAGAAGACGGAGGUGUGUGGGCCCAGAACAAGCGGCCUCCUUGUGCACCUCUGUUUGCUUGAAGGGGUGUUUUCUCACAUAGCUGCAUUUCACUGGCUGUCUUAGCAAAAUCACACCUCCCUCACAGCUCCCUCGACGCUGUGUUUAUAUGUGUAGCUUUUAUGGACCUCAUUGGCUUCUCUGAGGGCAACUAAUGGACCAAGGUUUUUGGUGAGAAAGGCAGCUGGCCACCGGUGUCCUGUGGUGCAGUGGUUCUCUGAGCAGAUCUCUAGUGCAGCGUGCCUGAUUAACUGGCAGCAGACAAGAUGGGAAACAACUUGCAUUGAAGUCUGAAACUAAGCCCUAUGGAGUGACCAAAUACCAGGUUCUUUUGACUUUUACCAAACUGGAAAAAAAGAGAGACCCAGGACAGUGGAAUGAGAG
ensembl:lncRNA